ensembl:lncRNA
GACAGCAGAGGUUACAAGUGGCAGUGGAUCGCACUGCCGGAGCUGUUUGGAGGAAGCCUCUGAGCGCGCAACGCCGGUCACGUGGUGGGCGCAGACCAGCCACUGAGAUGACGGGUCCUCGAAGCGUUCCUAGAGAGGCAGCUAUUGAAGCCGGCCGAGACGUGUUUGAGCGAUGUGAUGUAUUUCCGGUCUCUGGGAGUUUCUUUGCCUGCAGAUCAUUGCUUUGAUCACGACCAUUCACUCUGAGUAAAUAUGUUCUUAGUUUGGAGUUGAUGUCUGUUAACAAUGAUGUGUUAUGCCUCGGCGCCAGCAUGAAGCACUCCUACUACUGCAAUAAGCCAGGUUUCUGAGCUGUUUCACCCAGGAAUGAAUUCAGUUCAGCCCUUUUGGGCUGCAGAAGAACAGAAGGAAUGUCAAAUAGUUAAAAUUUAGCCUGCACAGAAAUGGAGCUUCUGGCCAGGAGUUCUUCAGACAAAGCGAGGAGGAUUCUUUUGAGCUUCCAGAGUCCAGCUCCAGGCUCUUUGCCAUCACUGGCUGAGACCAGAGAUAGACAGCAAGGAACAAACACAUCUUGGAACUGCUGGUACCAGAGCAGUUCCUGACCAUCCUGCCCAGAGCUCCAGGCUUGAGUGCAGGAGCAGCCCAGAGUCUAGGGAGGAGGCUGUUACUGUACUGGAGGUGCUUGGAGAGGAAGCUGGCUAAUCCAGGAGGAAAGCUCAUUUGAGUCAAGAUCUCAAGAAGAAAAAUGCGUUGUGAUUGGUUGAUAUGUCUCUUAGGUUUCUUUUAAUAAAUGGGUCCCCCUUCCUUCUUUUCUCCCCCUUGCAACUCACUUAUUAAAGAAAUCAAGUUGUUUGUCCUAUGUAGUUUCCCACAAUCUGGGUUUUGCUGCUUGCAUCUUGUGCUGUAGUUUAACAUGUUCUGUUGUCCUCUCUGUUUUCUAUAAAUUGUAGCAAAUCUACAGGCUUGACCAAAAUCAAAUUUAAGGUUUUAGAGCAAGACAAGUUUAACUUGGCAAGCUGAUGUUCUGUCUGGAGCCUAUAAUGUUUGAUUGUUUCUUUUUCUGUGAUGUUAUCAGCUUUUGAUCCUCAAUACCUACAUCUAGUAAUCCAUUAGAGGAUCCCAAAGUGAUGAUAUUCUUAUUCUGUCAUUCUUUCUUCACUUAAUAAAGCUGGAAUAUUUAUAUAAA